GAUGAACGCUGGCGGCGUGCCUAAUACAUGCAAGUCGAGCGAACAGACGAGGAGCUUGCUCCUCUGACGUUAGCGGCGGACGGGUGAGUAACACGUGGAUAACCUACCUAUAAGACUGGGAUAACUUCGGGAAACCGGAGCUAAUACCGGAUAAUAUAUUGAACCGCAUGGUUCAAUAGUGAAAGACGGUUUUGCUGUCACUUAUAGAUGGAUCCGCGCCGCAUUAGCUAGUUGGUAAGGUAACGGCGUACCAAGGCAAGGAUGCGUAGCCGACCUGAGAGGGUGAUCGGCCACACUGGAACUGAGACACGCUCCAGACUCCUAAGGGAGGCAGCAGUAGGGAAUCGUCCGCAAUGGGCGAAAGCUUGGCGGAGCAACGCCGCGUGAGUGAUGAAGGUCUUCGGAUCGUAAAACUCUGUUAUUAGGGAAGAACAAAUGUGUAAGUAACUAUGCACGUCUUGACGGUACCUAAUCAGAAAGCCACGGCUAACUACGUG
rnacentral:rRNA from 1 species